rnacentral:rRNA from 1 species
GACGAACGCUGGCGGCGUGCUUAACACAUGCAAGUCGAACGGAAAGGCCCUGCUUUUGUGGGGUGCUCGAGUGGCGAACGGGUGAGUAACACGUGAGUAACCUGCCCUUGACUUUGGGAUAACUUCAGGAAACUGGGGCUAAUACCGGAUAGGAGCUCCUGCUGCAUGGUGGGGGUUGGAAAGUUUCGGCGGUUGGGGAUGGACUCGCGGCUUAUCAGCUUGUUGGUGGGGUAGUGGCUUACCAAGGCUUUGACGGGUAGCCGGCCUGAGAGGGUGACCGGCCACCUUGGGACUGAGAUACGGCCCAGACUCCUACGGGCGGCAGCAGUGGGGAAUCUUGCACAAUGGGCGGAAGCCUGAUGCAGCAACGCCGCGUGCGGGAUGACGGCCUUCGGGUUGUAAACCGCUUUCGCCUGUGCCGAAGCGUGAGUGACGGUAAUGGGUAAAGAAGCACCGGCUAACUACGUG